AACUGCCAGAGAUUAAAAGUUCUUCUGGAAGUAGAGCUUGAGUCGUGAUCAUUUUGUAAAAGUCACAAAAUAAGGUUUUUAUUUUAUUUCUGUUCAUAAAAACGAUUUUAAAAAAGUUUGCGGGUUUUUUUGCUCAGGUGUUUAUGAAGUUGGUGAAAAUGUCAGAUUAUCUUCAGGUUUGCAGUCUUACAGCCUCUGUACACAUUUCAACACUGUAAUCUCUAAGAGGAAAAGAGUUUUAAUCCUAAGGUUUUAAAUAAUGGUUCAUUCAUUUGUGUUACAGGAAACUCACAAGUAAGUGUCGUCUCAGUUCUUAUCUCCUCAUAGUUUCCAUGGUAACGGAGCGUGGCGUGACGUGACGCACACUUGACUGGACUCAUUCCACCUGAUUCUUGUCUCCAGUUGACAGUUGUUUUUUUUAAAGCUUGCCUUUCAGACGCAGUUAAGUCGAGGACAUGGCAGAGCGUGUGGACGGAGACGGCCGGGACAGAGCAGAGUCUCCGGUGUCCGUGUGUCUGUCCGUGAGGUCCCGCCAGUCCAAAGAUGAACCUCUGUACUUUGCUGGUGAACGUGGACCCGGGAGAACAGAACUCACUGGUUGUCGACUCACUGUGGCGUCGUGGCCUCAGCUCUUAGGUCCAACCCCUCCCACCUGAGAGAGCUGGACCUGAGUGGAAACUACCUGGAGGAUUCAAGAGUGAAGCGGCUGUGUGAUGGACUGAAGAGUCCACACUGUCACCUGGAGACUCUGAGGUUGAAAGGGUGCGGUUUGACAACGUUCAGCUUUGCUCCUCUGGCGUCAGCUCUGAAGACCAACCCGUCCCACCUUAGACAUCUGGACCUGAGCAGCAACGAGCUGCAGGACUCGGGAGUGGAGACACUGAGUGGUUUCCUCCAGAGUCCCAACUGUCAUCUGGAAACUCUGAGAAUGAGCUACUGUUAUUUGUCAGGGGUCAGCUGUUCUAAUCUGACCUUUGCUCUGAAGGCAAAGGGCUCCCACCACCUGACGGAGCUGGACCUGAGCUACAACAACCUUGGGUUGGCUUUGGACCGGGAGGAGC